UACGUAGGGCGCGAGCGUUGUCCGGAAUCAUUGGGCGUAAAGAGUUCGUAGGCGGCCUGUCGCGUCUGCUGUGAAAUCCCGGGGCUUAACCCCGGGCGUGCAGUGGAUACGGGCUGGCUGGAGGCAGGCAGGGGAGAACGGAAUUCCCGGUGUAGCGGUGAAAUGCGCAGAUAUCGGGAGGAACACCGGUGGCGAAGGCGGUUCUCUGGGCCUGUACUGACGCUGAGGAGCGAAAGCGUGGGGAGCGAACAGG
rnacentral:rRNA from 1 species